UCAAACGGCUCCAAAAUGCGCCCCCAAGGACAGCUGUUGCCUGGCUCCUGUCACAAGAAGUCACAGUAAAGUCUGAGCAACCUCCCAUGAGCCAAACAGAGUCAACUUUAAAACUCCAAGCCUGCCUCACUGGCAAAGGCCCAGGUUUUCUCUGAGACAUCUUUACCAACCCAAAGGCCACACAGACAGCUAGGGGACGUUAAUCCCCUCAGGAGAUCCUGUCUUACCUCAGAAGGUGUUGAAUCUCAAGCGGACAGCUGGAGAGAAAGAAGAGGUCCUGCCCUUCCUUUCGGAACACUUGGGCACUGAGCCAGCACAGCUCUGACUGGCGGUUCCCCGUUGGAGGAGGCCAGCACCAUGGCCAGCAGAGAGCUCAUCGUGGAAGGAAAAGCAUGGUGGCACUGGCUGACUUUGUGGCAGGAAUGUGGCAGCAGUUACACUGGCAACCGGCAAGCUGAGAACAUUUUUCUUUUAAUAUAAGUGUCAAGUUACCUGUCACUUUGGUUUUCGUUGUUGUUAUUGUUUGUUUUUCUGAGACAGGGUUUCUCUGUACCCUCGGCUGUCCUGGACUCACUUUGUAGACCAUGCUGGCCUUGAACUCACAGAGAUCCACCUGCCUCUGCCUCCCAAGUGCUGGGAUUAAAGGCAUGUGCCACCACUGCCUGGUGACAUUUCUUUUUUUUCUUUAUUUUUUAUUAAUUAUUUUUUACAAUUUAUUCACUUUGAAUCCCAGCUGUGGCCCCCU